rnacentral:rRNA from 1 species
UACAGAGGGGGCAAGCGUUGUUCGGAAUUACUGGGCGUAAAGGGCGCGUAGGCGGCCUUCUAAGUCGAACGUGAAAUCCCCGGGCUCAACCCGGGAACUGCGUCCGAUACUGGAAGGCUUGAAUCCGGGAGAGGGAUGCGGAAUUCCAGGUGUAGCGGUGAAAUGCGUAGAUAUCUGGAGGAACACCGGUGGCGAAGGCGCAUCCUGGACCGGCAUUGACGCUGAGGCGCGAAAGCCAGGGGAGCAAACAGGG